UAGCAAGCGUGGCAAGUCAGCUGAAGUCCUAUUGAUCUACAAGCUUUUGUGAAGUUGUAAGCUGAACUCUUGAUACUCUCUUUGGUACAAAUUGCUAUUUUCUUCUACAUACAUAUUCUGCUUUUUCCACUCUCAGAAACUCCUUUGAGAUGAACAAAUGAUCCAUAUGCUGAAAAGGCUUAGGAAUCCAGAGAUUCAACAUAAUGGGGAGCUCAAUGGAUAGUGACACGAGACAGCGGUGAGAUUGUGUUUCCUGUGCCCGAGACCACAAACAAGCAAGGGGUUGAUCCUCCAGGCAUACUGGUCUCAUCAUGAGUGAGAAAAAAAUGGGAAUGACAAAAAUACUUUGCC
rnacentral:lncRNA from 13 species